rnacentral:rRNA from 1 species
UACGUAGGGAGCGAGCGUUGUCCGGAUUUAUUGGGCGUAAAGAGCUUGUAGGCGGUUCAUUAAGUCGGGUGUGAAAACUCUGGGCUCAACCCAGAGACGCCACCCGAUACUGCUGUGACUUGAGUCUGGUAGGGGAUCGCGGAAUUCCAGGUGUAGCGGUGAAAUGCACAGAUAUCCGGAGGAACACCAGCAGCGAAGGCGGCGAUCUGGGCCAGUACUGACGCUGAGAAGCGAAAGCGUGGGGAGCGAACAGG